AUUGAACGCUGGCGGCAGGCCUAACACAUGCAAGUCGAGCGGAGCGGCGGACGGGUGAGUAAUGCCUAGGAAUCUGCCUGGUAGUGGGGGAUAACGUCCGGAAACGGGCGCUAAUACCGCAUACUAUCAGAUGAGCCUAGGGUGGAUUAGAUAGUUGGUGGGGUAAAGGCCUUCAAAGGCGACGAUCCGUACCUGGUCUGAGAGGAUGAACAGCCACACGGGAACUGAGAACCGGUCCAGCCUCUAACGGAAGGCAGCAGUGGGGAAUAUUGGACAAUGGGCGAAGGCCUGCUCCAGCACUGCCGGGUGUGGGAAGAAGGUCUUCGGAUUGUAAACCACUUUAAGUUGGGAGGCGUUACCAACAGAAUAAGCACCGGCUAACUUCGUGCCAGCAGCCGCGGUAAUUC
rnacentral:rRNA from 1 species